UACGAAGGGGGUUAGCGUUGUUCGGAAUUACUGGGCGUAAAGCGUGCGCAGGCGGCCAUCCAAGUCAGUGGUGAAAGCCCGGAGCUCAACUCCGGAAUUGCCAUUGAAACUGUUUGGCUCGAGUACGAGAGAGGUGAGUGGAAUUCCCAGUGUAGAGGUGAAAUUCGUAGAUAUUGGGAAGAACACCGGUGGCGAAGGCGGCUCACUGGCUCGUAACUGACGCUCAUGCACGACAGCGUGGGGAUCAAACAGG
rnacentral:rRNA from 1 species